CUGAUGCAGAGGCCCUGCCUUCCUUUUGCUGAAAGAAGAGCCUGAAAUUAGAACCUCAGGUGGAAGUGGUUUAUUUGGGAGGAGACCCCAGGAAAUAUUUAUGAAGAAGAAACAAGAAUGCUACAGGGAAGAAAGAGGUCUACAUAAGGUGAAUUCUCCAGGAGCAGCCAGUACCAGGAGUGAGAACACUAACUACAUGGAGCAGAGGAACACGCCUCAAACUCCUUGACACCUUUCACUUGAGAAAAGAGAUUUGGAAACACGCAGAGAAAUGGAAGAACUUGCCCUAAACCAUACAGUGACAGAGAAAAAAAAGUCAAUUGUCUGACUUGAAAGCCACAAUUCUAAUAAUCCUAAUUCUAAUUCUAAUUCUAAAAAGUACUGCCUUCAAGUCAGAAAGCGUUGCUGUUCUUAGUCUACAGAUGACAAGACUGAGUCUCAGACAGAAGGAGUGACUUCCCCAAGAAUGCAUAGCUAAUGAGGAACUUGGAACACUUGUCCCCUGGAUGGCUUAGGACUUCUUCCAGAAAAACUGCCAUUGCUCUGACAGGGGUGACUGUGCUUUUGGACGUGGCUCUGCAUAACCGUGGCUGGUUUUUGAUUUCUAACGUCUUCUCUGAGCUUGGUUUGCUGCCUUUUUCUGCAGCGGUGGCACCCAGUGACCUUUAGCUGUUUUCAUAAUUCAAUUCCAUCUUCAAGUGCAGGACUUUUCCUGUCAAGAAAAUUCUUCCUGUGAUUGGCUUAUUUCACUUAGCAUAAGUGAACCUUGAGGUUCAUCCAAGAUGUUGCAAAUGAUAGGAUUUCUUUUUCUGAAUGAAUGAAGAAAUGGAGACACUAAUUACCCAGAUUUGAUAAGCACACAGUGUGUAUGUGUGUAGAAAACAUCACAUUGUACCUCAUAAAUAUGUACAAUAUC